CCGGCCCAUUUCACAUGCAUUUAUGUUUUCUUUAAAGAUACACUACAGCUCAUUUUCCACAUUUUCAUAUUGGUUUUUUUUAACACUCAUUGAUACAAUGGUAGAAAUCAUAUCAAUGCUGAAAAGUUGAGCAAUGUAAAUUCAUUAAUAAGCUCUAGACAGCCGUUUAAAGAUCGUCCGGAAUUCAAAGGUUUCUUCCUACUGACUCGGACUUUUAAAUUCAUGUUUACAUCACGUGACUUUGAAUGACAGCAUGUCGGCAGACCGGACAGCGGAGUUGCAGAUAGUAGCACUGAAAGUGAAUUGGACGCUUCUUCAAGUCCACGGAGGGAGGUAGACGAGAGUAAAAGGGGCCGUGGACGUGGUAGGCCACGUAGAACCAGAAGAGGUAGAGGACGACCCAGAUCGCGACAGACUGGUGCAGUACGACCUAGGGCCAGUAGGGGACAAUCCGUUCGAGGAAGGCGACAAAGAGGACAGUUGUGCACUACUCCUGAUGUCGAAGUUGCUCUAUAAGAGAGGAGGAGGAAUAUCGAGGUGAUUUGUACAGAAGCGAGCCCCAGCAGGAAUGAUGGCCUCUUUUGAAAUGAAGAUUUCAUGCCUUACUCCUACUGGGACUACAACUAACUUUGGACCUGGUCACUCGCAGAUACAGCAUGAAGUGUGCCCUCUUGAUGUACAUGGGGAUGGGAGUGAUACAGAAGGGGAACUAAUUGGAAGAACGUCUGCUGCUGGUGGUGGUGCUGGACUGUCUUGAAUCUGUUGCCUAACCGACUUGAUAUUCUUCUGUUUAAUAUGGGAGCCGUUUCACCUUUAUAGAUUUUUUUCCCCUAACAUUUAAAACAUAUCUUUUCAAUAUCAAUUUUGUCUAUAGCACAAAAUAAAAAUUCUAAGAUCAAUUAAAGCGUUUGAUUUUUGU